rnacentral:rRNA from 1 species
UGAGGAAUAUUGCACAAUGGGCGAAAGCCUGAUGCAGCGACGCCGCGUGGGUGAAGAAGGUCUUCGGAUCGUAAAGCCCUUUUCUGCGUGACGAGGAAGGACGGUAGCGCAGGAAUAAGUCUCGGCUAACUACGUGCCAGCAGCCGCGGUAAAACGUAGGAGACAAACGUUAUCCGGAGUUACUGGGCGUAAAGGGCGUGCAGGCGGUUUCUUAAGUUCGUCGUGAAAUCGCCCGGCUUAACCGGGCGGGGUCGAUGGAUACUGGGGAACUAGAGGGCGGUAGAGGCGUGUGGAAUUCCGGGUGUAGUGGUGAAAUGCGUAGAUAUCCGGAGGAACACCAGUGGCGAAGGCGACACGCUGGGCCGUACCUGACGCUAAGACGCGACAGCAUGGGGAGCGAACGGG